AUUCGUAUGGGCAUAUUUACAAUUAUCUACGAGCAAGGCUAAAAAAAAAAAGAUAGAUUAAGGUAAAAUAGUCAGAUAAAGUCCUGAUAGUAUGCUGAUAAGCCCUUUGCACUAUAUAUACACGGGCGUACGAACGGAAAGUGAGGCUAGCCGUGACAUUUAUCAAGUAGGAAAUGCCAAUGGAAAAUCAAUAUAUUGGUUGGUGAGUGGAGUAAGGAAGGUUCUAGCGCCCCAUGGGGAAAAAACUUACCUGACAGUUCCGAUACGUCUAGACAGCUGGAUCGGCUUUUGGUUCUUUGCAGCAAACGUUGCAGGGGCUGCUGUCGUUGAGGACUGCCAUUGGACUGUCCAUCGGAGCCGCUAACCCAGUCGGUAUCGAUGGCCUUGGAUGCACUACGUUUAAAAUGCUCCAAAAAGUGAUCAAUUUGCUUUUCUAUGGAACUGGACGGCGAAUUUUCCAUUUUAGCUUUUACAUUUUUACAUACGCAAAUUAAGGCCUGAAAUUUUUGGUGCACUUUAACAAGAAAUAAAAUUCUAUUCGAUUUUUGGCACUUAUCAAAUGGAGGACGAUACACAAUUAACAAGAUUGUAAGUACAUAAUAUUUUUCUUAUGCCUUGCGUUUAUUUUAAUCGAACUUGACACAACAAAAUAAUAUAUUUUUUUUAUCUCUACACUAAUAUUUGCUGCGUUUUGUAUCGGGUCCUUUCAGAUGACUCAACCUUAACCGCUCUUCCGCAUCGCUCAACCAAGACUGAGAGCACGGCGUGGGUAGCUGUUGCCACAGCCACAGAUUAACUGAGCGAACGGGUGUCUCUGAGGAUAUACCCAGAAGUUGGCUGUGGAUGAGAACGCGACCAUGACGCCGCCACGACUGGGAGAGCCGGCAAAAUUCUCGUUUUUAUUUGUGCUUCCUCUGUUGACCUCUCAGUGACGCUGAAAGCUUUGGUUGGCACGUGUUGUUUGUGAAUUAAAAUCUCUGUCAUGCGCACUAAUGCAGCACUUACAGGUUAAUACGUACAUGCAUACAUAUUUACGUAAAUGUUCAUAUGCUUAUUUUGCGAUAUCAGCUGUUCGUAUCCCUUUAAAUUAAGCACUGGGGUAUGCCUACUCACCCUCUGAUAAUAAAAGCCGUAUAGCUAUUAUGGAUGCUUUCAUUUUUAGAGCAAA